rnacentral:rRNA from 1 species
UACGUAGGGUCCGAGCGUUGUCCGGAAUUAUUGGGCGUAAAGGGCUCGUAGGCGGUCUGUCGCGUCGGGAGUGAAAACUUACAGCUUAACUGUGAGCGUGCUUCCGAUACGGGCAGACUUGAGGUAUUCAGGGGAGAACGGAAUUCCUGGUGUAGCGGUGAAAUGCGCAGAUAUCAGGAGGAACACCGGUGGCGAAGGCGGGUCUCUGGGCCGAUACUGACGCUGAGGAGCGAAAGCGUGGGGAGCAAACAGG